rnacentral:rRNA from 1 species
AGCGAACGCUGGCGGCAGGCCUAACACAUGCAAGUCGAACGGAUCCUUCGGGAUUAGUGGCGGACGGGUGAGUAACACGUGGGAACGUGCCCUUUGGUUCGGAACAACUCAGGGAAACUUGAGCUAAUACCGGAUGUGCCCUUCGGGGGAAAGAUUUAUCGCCAUUGGAGCGGCCCGCGUCUGAUUAGCUAGUUGGUGAGGUAACGGCCCACCAAGGCGACGAUCAGUAGCUGGUCUGAGAGGAUGCUCAGCCACACUGGGACUGAGACACGGCCCAGACGCCUACGGGAGGCAGCAGUGGGGAAUCUUGCGCAAUGAGCGAAAGCCUGACGCAGCCAUGCCGCGUGAAUGAUGCAGGUCUUAGGAUUGUAAAAUUCUUUCAGCGGGGACGAUAAUGACGGUACCCGCAGAAGAAGCUCCGGCUAACUUCGUG